rnacentral:rRNA from 1 species
AUCUGCCGUGGGCGCUGGAGAACUGAGGGGGGCUGCUCCUAGUACGAGAGGACCGGAGUGGACGCAUCACUGGUGUUCGGGUUGUCAUGCCAAUGGCACUGCCCGGUAGCUAAAUGCGGAAGAGAUAAGUGCUGAAAGCAUCUAAGCACGAAACUUGCCCCGAGAUGAGUUCUCCCUGACUCCUUGAGAGUCCUGAAGGAACGUUGAAGACGACGACGUUGAUAGGCCGGGUGUGUAAGCGCAGCGAUGCGUUGAGCUAACCGGUACUAAUGAACCGUGAGGCUUAACCUUACAACGCCGAAGCUGUU